rnacentral:rRNA from 1 species
AUUGAACGCUGGCGGCAGGCCUAACACAUGCAAGUCGAGCGAGCGGCGGACGGGUGAGUAAUGUAUGGGGAUCUGCCCGAUAGAGGGGGAUAACUACUGGAAACGGUGGCUAAUACCGCAUACUAUCGGAUGAACCCAUAUGGGAUUAGGUAGUUGGUGAGGUAAAGGCUCACCAACCGACGAGCUCUAGCUGGUCUGAGAGGAUGACCAGCAACACUGGGACUGAGACACGGCCCAGACUCCGAAGGGAGGCAGAAGGGGGGAAUAUUGCGCAAUGGGGGCAACCCUGACGCAGCCAUGCCGCGGGAAUGAAGAAGGCCUUCGGGUUGUAAAGUUCUUUCGGUAGCGAGGCGUUAACUACAGAAGAAGCACCGGCUAACUCCGUGCCAGCAGCCGCGGUAAUUC